rnacentral:lncRNA from 1 species
GCUCACACGCCCGGGAAGCGGCCGCCGCGGAGCCGGCGUCCGCAGCGGCUGCGCAUCUCGGGCCUGCAGCGGGGCGCUUGGCGGGCGGGGGCCGGGGGAGAGCCUGUUUGCGCAGUACCCCCGGAGGGCGGAAGGCCGCCGAGAGAAACAGCAAGUGACAGAGCAGAGGAACGGCUGGCCCAGCCAAUCCUGGAGCUGCUGUUGCAGCACUUGUUCCCCAAACAAGUGCUCCUACAUUCUGAGGACUCAGGAGAGUGCAGCUUGCUCUGUGAGUGGGUGACAACCUCUUGGCGACUCAGGCUCAGCUGAGGAUGGUGCCAGUGUGCCGGAGACAGCCGUCAUACUGCCGGAUAGAGUGGCUCACUUGCAUGUAUUUGGAACAAAAAAAGGAGAUGCCUGGCAGCCCCGCUCUCUGCAGUGCUGUUGAGCCACCAAUUUUUGUGGUUUUGUGACCACAAGUGCUGACUGAUGCGACAUGACCCCAGUCUUGUCAGUGAAUCAUCACCAGGCUGCUUACUGGAAACUGGAUGCAGCAAGGAAAUAGGAUUUAACCGCUCUCUGCCUCCCAGGAGCCCUGAAAUCAGCAUUCCCAGAGGAAAGAAGAUGGCCAUCUGGGCUUGGCUUCCGGCUCCCCCCAUCUGGCUGGAACACACAUCAGUCACGGCUGUCCGUCUCCCAGAUGCUGCUCUUCAGGGCUCCUGGCGCCAGUGCUGAGGUGACAGAGCAAAGGUCUGAAAACUGGCCCCUUCACGCAGCAGUGUCCAAAGCGGGGGGCAUGGCACACCCCCUCUGGCUUCCACAUGGCGGGCACAGGCCACAGGCACAGGAUCUCUGCAGAAACCAGGCAGUGGAACAACGCCAACCCCACACUCUCGGGUGCCUGUGUGUGCCACGUCUCAUCCUGGGCCAUCUCCUCUUGGAUCUGCCAGGCGUGUUGGCGAUGAGGACCCUGCGGCAGUGGUUGGGCUCCACCAGCAAGUGGUAAAGCUGGAACUUCUAAAAGGACAAGUCCGGGAGUGACUGCCCCUGCCGGCUGCAGGAGGGCAGGGUCUUCAAGCUGGCUGGGGUGCCGCGCCUGGCCACCACUUCUUUCAUUCUCAGUAUUGGUUAAUUUGCGUCUUUUUUUGUCAGUCUGGCUACAGGUUUACACACUUUAUUGAUCUCCAAGUAGCAACUGUUGGUUUCACUGAUUUCCUCUAUUUUUUUUUCUUUUCUCAAUUUCAUUGAUUUUGGCUCUAUUUUUAUCAUUUCCUUACAUCUGCUAGUUUGGGAUUUAACUUGCUCUUUUUUAGUUUCUUAAGGUGGAAAAUUAGAUCAUUGAUUUGAGACUUUUCUUUUUUUCUAACACAAGUAUAUUAUGCUAUACAUUCCCCUGUAAGCAAUGCUUUAGCUGCAUCCUACAUAUUUGGAUAUUUUGAGAUGUUGUGUUUUUAUUCAAUUCAAAACACUUUCUAAUCUCCCUGCUGACUACUUCUUUUAUGCAUGGGUUAUUUAGAAGUGUCCUGUACACUUUCCAAUUCUUUGGGGAUUGGCUUUGUUAUUGAUUUCUGCUUUCAUUCUAUUGUGAUAAUGCAUGUUGAAUGAUUUCAAUUUUCUGAAGUUUGUUAAAAGUUGUCUUAUUGUCUAGAAUAUGGUCUACUUUGGAGAAUGUUUCAUGUGUACUUGGGGAGUAUAUACUUUUAAAUCACUGUUAUUCAGUGAUUUCUUUCUUUAAAUGGGCAAGUCCCCUACAUGGUCUUCAUACUUUUGGUCACUCCAGAGUGCCUUAAACAUUUGGUCUUUAAAAAAAAAAUUUUUUUUAUCCAGAGUUUAUCAUUUUUAUUUGUGAGACGAUUAGUCUGUCACAGUUUACCACUACCAUAGCCAGAACUCUUAGAUUUCUUGUAAUACAAGAUGAAACUUUCUUUAAGCCAGUGUGUAUUUUUUUUUUUUGGUUCUUUCAAACAAAAACUUCUAACUCAUGCAGGUACACAGUAGUUCACACUGUAUAAAAUGAAAUGCCAAGAACAUGUAGGGGUGAGAAAUAGGGAACUCUAGCUAGAACUAUUUUUUGACUUGAAUUGACCUGAAUUAAAAUAAAUUAGAAACCAAUUAUACAGGAGGAGGAAGCACAUACACCUGCUUUGUUUAUCUGUAGAUGAAACUAUUUACAAAAUGUUUCCAUAGUAUUUACAAAUGAAGAAGGAAAUAAAUUGAAACACUACCUUUACACUCUGGAGCAGCACGACUCCACACUGAAUUGUCACCACAAUAAAUCGUGCUCUCUCCAAUAAGUGAAAAUGGAUCUGGUCCAGGUGCAGGAUCACAACUAUAAGUUACUGCAUCAAGAUACUCAAAUACUUCUACUUCACUAAAGGUGUGUUUUCCAUUUUUUAUUUUUGGAGGUGGUGUACACAAAACCUCUUAAAAAUGAAGAAAAAGAGGAAAGGAAAUGUAAAAGAUUAAGACAGCAUUAGUAAAAUUUCUGUGUCUUCAAUAAAUUUGUCAAUAUAGGGUUUCUACAAGCUGUUUGUGAAUUCAAUAUGGAUUUAAAAGAAGGUUUCUAUGAGCAAAUAUAUCAUCCCAAAUUCAAACCAUUAAUGUAGUAACUAACUUUCAGAACAAAUCUCAUUUUCUUAAAGUGUAAAUACCUAUUGAUAUGGUUUGGAUCUGUGUCCCCACCAAAUCGCAUGUCAAAUUGUAGUCCACAAUGUUGGAGGUGGGGCCUGGUGGGAGGGGUCUGAAUCAUGGGGGUGGAUUUCUCAUGAAUGGUUUAGCACCGUCCCCUUGGUGCUGUUCUCGUGAUACUGAGUGCUUGGGAGAUCUGGUUAUUUAAAAGUGCGCAACACCUCCCGUCCUCCCCACCUUGCUCCUCCUGCUCCUGCCAUGUGAGACACCUUGCUCUCCUUCUGUCUUUCCCAAUGGUUGUUAAGUUUCCCGAGGCCUACCCAAACCCCCAGCAGAUGCCAGCACCAUGCUUCCUGUACAGCUUGUAGAAACAUGAGCCAAUUAAACUUCUUUU